GAUGAAGAACGUAGCGAAAUGCGAUAAGUAGUGUGAAUUGCAGAAUUCAGUGAAUCAUCGAAUCUUUGAACGCACAUUGCGCCCGCCAGUACUCUGGCGGGCAUGCCUGUCCGAGCGUCAUUUCAACCCUCGAACCCCUCCGGGGGGUCGGCGUUGGGGAUCGGCCCUCCGUUCGCGGGGGCCGUCUCCGAAAUGCAGUGGCGGUCUCGCCGCAGCCUCCCCUGCGCAGUAGCUUGCACACUCGCACCGGGAGCGCGGCGCGUCCACAGCCGUUAAACACCCAACCUUCUGGAAUGUUGACCUCGGAUCAGGUAGGAAUACCCGCUGAACUUAAGCAUAUCAAUAAGCGGAGGA
rnacentral:misc_RNA from 1 species